rnacentral:rRNA from 1 species
UACGUAGGGGGCAAGCGUUGUCCGGAAUUAUUGGGCGUAAAGGGCGCGUAGGCGGCCAUUCAAGUCGGAGGUGAAAGCCCAGGGCUCAACCCUGGAAUUGCCUUCGAUACUGUUUGGCUGGAGACCGGAAGAGGUAAGUGGAACUGCGAGUGUAGAGGUGAAAUUCGUAGAUAUUCGCAAGAACACCAGUGGCGAAGGCGGCUUACUGGUCCGGUUCUGACGCUGAGGCGCGAAAGCGUGGGGAGCAAACAGG